UACAGAGGGGGCAAGCGUUGUUCGGAAUUACUGGGCGUAAAGGGCGCGUAGGCGGCCUUCUAAGUCGAACGUGAAAUCCCCGGGCUCAACCCGGGAACUGCGUCCGAUACUGGAAGGCUUGAAUCCGGGAGAGGGAUGUGGAAUUCCAGGUGUAGCGGUGAAAUGCGUAGAUAUCCGGAGGAACACCGGUGGCGAAGGCGGCUUCCUGGACCGACACUGACACUGAGGCACGAAAGCGUGGGGAGCAAACAGG
rnacentral:rRNA from 1 species